GUCCACGCCGUAAACGAUGAUAACUAGCUGUCCGGGCACUUGGUGCCUGGGUGGCGCAGCUAACGCAUUAAGUUAUCCGCCUGGGGAGUACGGUCGCAAGAUUAAAACUCAAAGGAAUUGACGGGGGCCUGCACAAGCGGUGGAGCAUGUGGUUUAAUUCGAAGCAACGCGCAGAACCUUACCAGUGUUUGACAUGGAUAGUUUGGUUUCCAGAGAUGGAUUCCUUCAGUUAGGCUGGCUAUCACACAGGUGCUGCAUGGCUGUCGU
rnacentral:rRNA from 1 species